rnacentral:rRNA from 1 species
GAGUUUGAUCCUGGCUCAGGAUGAACGCUAGCGGCAGGCCUAAUACAUGCAAGUCGAGGGGUAAGGCUCAUUUCGGUGAGUACACGACCGGCGCACGGGUGAGUAACGCGUAUGCAACCUACCUUUAACAGGGGGAUAGCCCCGAGAAAUCGGGAUUAACACCCCAUAAUACUAUAAAGUGGCAUCACUUAAUAGUUAAAACUCUGGUGGUUAAAGAUGGGCAUGCGUGACAUUAGCUGGUUGGUGAGGUAACGGCUCACCAAGGCUACGAUGUCUAGGGGUUCUGAGAGGAUGAUCCCCCACACUGGUACUGAGACACGGACCAGACUCCUACGGGAGGCAGCAGUAAGGAAUAUUGGUCAAUGGACGCAAGUCUGAACCAGCCAUGCCGCGUGCAGGAAGACAGCCUUAUGGGUUGUAAACUGCUUUUAUACAGGAAUAAACCAUCCUACUUGUAGGGUGCUGAAGGUACUGUAAGAAUAAGCACCGGCUAACUCCGUGCCAGCAGCCGCGGUAAUACGGAGGGUGCAAGCGUUAUCCGGAUUUAUUGGGUUUAAAGGGUGCGCAGGCGGACCUAUCAGUCAGUGGUGAAAUCCCGAGGCUCAACCUCGGAACUGCCAUUGAUACCGUAGGUCUUGAGUUUGGUUGAAGUGGGCGGAAUGUAGCAUGUAGCGGUGAAAUGCAUAGAUAUGCUACAGAACACCGAUCGCGAAGGCAGCUCACUAAACCAAAACUGACGCUCAGGCACGAAAGCGUGGGUAGCGAACAGGAUUAGAU